rnacentral:lncRNA from 1 species
CUAGAGGUGGGUUGUGUUUGAUGGUUGAUACCGGGUGAGGUGAUGGGAGAAGGGUCCAUUGUGACUGCUAGCUGGGUUCUGGACCUGGAAAGCUCUGGAAUCCCAUGGGGACGAAUGGGGGAAAGGGAUAGCCCAGCUGUGGGGUUCUCAGCUCUGGUGUGCCCCAGGAGGACGGACCUGUAGCUCAGGACGCAGGUGACGAAAUGUGGAGUCCUAACUUCGAAGGCCAGAGGUGGCCUUCAUCAAGACUCACUCACUGUUCGCCACUCACCCUCUCCAUCCAUGCAGCUAGGCCCAGUUCUAAAAUUCUGCGAGCCUGAGGCUGCGUGUGCAAUGGCACGUGCUUGACUAAGAAUAGAACACUGAUGACUGGAAAUGCCACUCCAGUGGGGCAGCAAGGGACACACUGCCAAGACUCAGAGAGGCUACAAGAGAGGAUGUAGAAGACAUGGAAGAACCACAUAGCCAGAGGAAGGAGGUUGUAUUUGAAGCAAUGCUAAAUUUUCGCCAACACAUUUCAGGAUGGUGACAAGGAAAUUAGGAGCCAACUCACAGAGUGGGAGCAAACUGGGUAUGGUGGCUCAUGAUUGUUAUCACAGCAGAAGACUGAGGCAGGAUUGCUGUAAGCCGAAAGCCAGACUGAGCCUUGUCACAAACAAAGAAAAACAGCAAUGUGAGCAAAUAGCAUCCUUUGAAGGGUGCUCAGUGCUGAACCAAAAGUCACUCUGUAAAGAACCUGUCAGGCUCUCCUGAAGCCUGUUUCUCAUUCUAAAGGUAUGGGAUGCCCCAGAGUGUAGACAGAAUGGACUCUUGGAACUGCAUUGAACCCCAGACCUUUAAGCACCAAUGGGAGGGGAGAGAAUACAUCACUGUUGUGUUUUUUUAUCCCAUUGUUAUGUUACCUCAAUAAAGUUUCAUCUCAAGGCUUAUUUAUUCCUCUGUAUUCUGUCCCAUCUUGACAAAAAGCCCAGGCUUUGGUAGCAAACAAUUUUACUGAGGAUCAGCCUUCCCCAUGG